UACGUAGGGCGCAAGCGUUGUCCGGAAUUAUUGGGCGUAAAGAGCUCGUAGGCGGCUUGUCACGUCGAUUGUGAAAGCCCGAGGCUUAACCUCGGGUCUGCAGUCGAUACGGGCUAGCUAGAGUGUGGUAGGGGAGAUCGGAAUUCCUGGUGUAGCGGUGAAAUGCGCAGAUAUCAGGAGGAACACCGGUGGCGAAGGCGGUUCUCUGGGCCUGUACUGACGCUGAGGAGCGAAAGCGUGGGGAGCGAACAGG
rnacentral:rRNA from 1 species